rnacentral:misc_RNA from 1 species
UCUCACCAAUGCGGGCUUAGCGGCCG